UUAAGGUUGGGAUAUUCUGUUUAGGAAUUAGUCCAAACAUCACCACGCAAUACAGAAUAUAAGUUUAAUAAUGAAUUUAUUAAACUUACGUUUAAACUUAUUAUAAAGUAAAUCAUUUUUCACCAUUCUGAGGUGCACUUUAAAAAUAACCCGUGAAAUUUGAAAUUUAAACAUUGGUAUUUCCCAGAUAUAGGCGAAAUAACGUUCGCAUCUGAUGGCGGCAGAGCAAACAUGGAUUCAAACUGAAAACGGUGGAAAGAGAAAAUGCCAAACAGAAAGAACAAAUCAGCUGAACAAUGGAUGGUGGACUUAACAAACGAUCACCGUGAUUACAAUAGACUUUGUCACCCACCACUCCUUAUCAUUCCACAGGGACAGGUUCACACAGACGUGGGUCAGAGGAAGACACUUUAAGUACAACUCAGCAGGUGGAUGUGCAGGUGCCAGGUCAACCUGCGGCAGUUUGCUGGUGCAUAUUGAGGCACUGUCAGUGCAGUUGGCUAGAAGCCUCCCAUGCAGAGGUUUUGGAGGUCGAUCCAAGUGUGCAUCGCCCCGGAAGGGCUACUGGGCACAGUUGGCAUUUGCUGAAUUAGGAUUUGAUCCCAGAACUACUUGGGGGUAACCUCAGGGCCCAUCCACAGAGUGGAUCAGUACCUGAAAAUGAUGGGCUACCCAAGCAGUCCUACUUUUCAAACACAGCAUAUAUUUUUUCUACAUCUCGUGAAAAUAGAGAAACAUGAGAGCAUACAUUGUGUAAAAAUGAGAGCAUACAGCGAUUGUGUAAAUCACUGUUUAUCAUGGGAGUCUGGCAAUUAACAUUUUCAACACAAGAUCACAGCUGUGAAUACUAAAAACCAGGGAGAGAGGAAAAUAACUACCUGGUGAUACAAAAGGUUUUUUUAAACGCAGUAUGGAGCGAAGUGACAAAUAGUCCAUUUCUUACAUCAUGCUCUUUUUUCUUCGCCGUUUCAAUCAAGAUAUUCUACAAAAGAUGGACGCCUGACCCGCGCACAUCAGGCACGCAUUCUGCACUGAUGAAAAGGUUUCUGGCUGGAUUUAAGGUCACCAGGCAGACAGGGGUUUAAGAGGGAGGUGAGCAAUGGCUCUUUUGUUAUUUCGCUCAAGGGGAAGUGCUUUCAAAGUCCAGCAGUAACAAAAAAGCACAAGUUUCACAUGAAAAAAAAAAAGUAAAAAACUUGGACUAAAAUGCUUUUUUCUUUAUCAUUUCAUCUUCAGCCUUUAUCAGGAAAAAAAACUUCAAGGCUAUGUGGAUAUGCUUUUUGUUCUUUUGUGAACUAUCUAUUUGAAUACAAUUUUUUACACUUAGAACAGAAAUACUUAUAUGGACACCUAGAACAGGGCAAGAACACUGCAAAAAAGAAAUAAUAAUAACAAUAAAAAAACCAAUAAUAAUAAUAAUAAUAGUAAUGAUGAUAUAAAAAUCUGAUUCAUCAAGAUUCUUGUUCAUGUGUUGAAAAGCCGAUGGCUCCAUUUGCCAGAUUUGGGCCUAGGCUAUCUACGGAGUCUAUUGUCUUCUCUCACUGCCACGCCAGAGAAAAAUGUGUUUAAAUGAUUCUCCAGCUUGGCACAGAACAAAACAUUACCCCCUGGAAAAAAAAGAGUUAGAGGGAGAGACAGAAAUAAUCAUUGGCUUUGGCCUUUGUCAAAAUGUCAACAUUUUGUUUGAACUCAAAUGAGCUCUCUAUUGUUGGUUUUUUUUUCGGUCACUCUUUUUGCAAAUGUACAUAAAUCGUUGUUUUCUGAGACUGAAAAGAAAAAUCAAUGGUCCCAAUUUUCACUGAGGUUGUUUUGGGCAGAUGCAUUCUUAUUUUUAAUUAGAAAGAAAAAAAGACAAAGCAGGUUCAGAAUUAUGACAGCAGGGGGUUUGCUGAAAGGGCUAUUGAUUUGCUAAAUGCCCCUCACCUCAGAUUCUUUGUUCUCUAAAUUGGUUUGUUACCUCUGUACAAGUAAAGCAUGUGAUUUUGAGGUAGCACAAAAAACUUGGUGCAUCUCUGCCAAAAGGUGGCACUAUAAGAACCAAAUAAAUUGAAAUGCCUAUAA